UGGCGGCGUGCCUAACACAUGCAAGUCGCACGUCCUGCCUGGUUUCGGCCAAGCAGGGAGUGGCGGACGGGUGAGUAACACAUGGGUGACCUGUCUCCCAGUGAGGAAUACCGGCGAGAAAUCGCCGACAAGACCGCAUACGCUCUGCCUGCUGCGGCGGGCCGAGCAAAGUCGCAAGACGCUGGGAGAUGGGCCUGUGGCCGAUUAGCUCGUUGGUGGGGUAAGGGCUCACCAAGGCGACGAUCGGUAGCUGGUCUGAGAGGACGAUCAGCCACACUGGGAUUGAGAACGGCCCAGACUCCUACGGGGGGCAGCAGUGAGGAAUUUUCCGCAAUGGACGCAAGUCUGACGGAGCAACGCCGCGUGCAGGAGGACGCUUCUCGGAGUGUAAACUGCUUUUCUGGGGGACGAGUUCGGGCGGUACCCCAGGAAGAAGCCCCGGCUAACUACGUGCCAGCAGCCGCGGUAAUACGUAGGGGGCGAGCGUUGUCCGGAGUUACCGGGCGUAAAGGGCACGCAGGCGGUCCUGCGCG
rnacentral:rRNA from 1 species